rnacentral:rRNA from 1 species
CUACGGGAGGCAGCAGUGGGGAAUAUUGGGCAAUGGGCGCAAGCCUGACCCAGCAACGCCGCGUGAGGGAAGAAGGUUUUCGGAUUGUAAACCUCUGUCCUUGGGGACGAAGAAGUGACGGUACCCAAGGAGGAAGCUCCGGCUAACUACGUGCCAGCAGCCGCGGUAAUACGUAGGGAGCGAGCGUUGUCCGGAAUUACUGGGCGGAAAGGGUGCGUAGGCGGCAUAUUAAGUCAGGUGUGAAAUACCCGGGCUCAACCCGGGGGGUGCAUUUGAAACUGAUCCGCUUGAGUGUGAGAGAGGAAAGUGGAAUUCCUAGUGUAGCGGUGAAAUGCGUAGAUAUUAGGAGGAACACCAGUGGCGAAGGCGACUUUCUGGCUCAUAACUGAGGCUGAGGCACGAAAGCGUGGGGAGCAAACAGGAUUAGAUACCCCCGUAGUC